GCCGCGGUAAUACGUAGGGGGCAAGCGUUGUCCGGAAUUAUUGGGCGUAAAGCGCGCGCAGGCGGUCAUUUAAGUCUGGUGUUUAAUCCCGGGGCUCAACCCCGGAUCGCACUGGAAACUGGGUGACUUGAGUGCAGAAGAGGAGAGUGGAAUUCCACGUGUAGCGGUGAAAUGCGUAGAUAUGUGGAGGAACACCAGUGGCGAAGGCGACUCUCUGGGCUGUAACUGACGCUGAGGCGCGAAAGCGUGGGGAGCAAACAGGAUUAGAUACCCUGGUAGUCCACGCCGUAAACGAUGAGUGCUAGGUGUUAGGGGUUUCGAUACCCUUGGUGCCGAAGUUAACACAUUAAGCACUCCGCCUGGGGAGUACGGUC
rnacentral:rRNA from 1 species